GGGGUUGUGGCUCAGUGGUAGAGCGCUCGUCUUGCAUACACGAGACCCUGGGUUCCAUCCUCAGCACCACA
rnacentral:tRNA from 1 species